AUCCAACUGACGAGUCCCAAAUAAGACGAAAC
rnacentral:hammerhead_ribozyme from 1 species